rnacentral:lncRNA from 1 species
CCUACUCAAGAUGGAGUCGCUCUGGUUUGAACGCCUCUGACACUUCCACUCUCAAGGAAUGGUGUUUUUAUUCUCUUCUCCCCAGAAUGUACUUCUGGUCUGUCCCGCUGUUCCAUUCCACAGCAUUUUAGGAGGUUCUCAAGAGUGUCCUAAACAAGCAGAGAAGAAUGGUGAGACUUACCCAUUCCUAGUUUAAGAAAUGAGUGAAAUGGGGUCUGAGUUAUAUCACAGCUACAGUUUAGACUCCUGUGGUACAGUUGGCUUUCCCAGGCUCCCGGCGUCCAUGCUGUCUCGGCGCUAUCUCGCAGCCUGACGCCACGCGCCAUCUGCUGGCCUUGAGCUGCAUAGCUCUAGAGUAACUUCAGAGGCCACGGGGGAACAAAGAGCACUCGCCUACUUGACUGAGCUCCGACAGGCCGUCCCUCUGCUUCAGGUGUAGGCGUGAACAAGUCCAGACCACUACCUUAACAGUAACAAGUACUUGACACAUGUCCUUGGUCUAGAAAGGAUGGAGGAGCCACAGACAGCUGAGGUGCAGGCUCCAGCUCAAUGGCCUGUCAUUACAAGAGGCUCUUGGAGUUUCUGAUCUUCUUCGCCUCUCUCUAUGCCCAACCCUGUCUAGAGUGCACCUCAGCAUGAUUUUAGAAAACAGCAUGGAGAAAGAGAAGUUGAGGCCAGUCUUUCUCCUCCGAUCACCAAGUAUCUAUUAAAAGCCAUUCCCUCCUAACAAGUACUUGACACAUGUCCUUGGUCUAGAAAGGAUGGAGGAGCCACAGACAGCUGAGGUGCAGGCUCCAGCUCAAUGGCCUGUCAUUACAAGAGGCUCUUGGAGUUUCUGAUCUUCUUCGCCUCUCUCUAUGCCCAACCCUGUCUAGAGUGCACCUCAGCAUGAUUUUAGAAAACAGCAUGGAGAAAGAGAAGUUGAGGCCAGUCUUUCUCCUCCGAUCACCAAGUAUCUAUUAAAAGCCAUUCCCUCCA